rnacentral:rRNA from 1 species
GACGAACGCUGGCGGCGUGCUUAACACAUGCAAGUCGAACGGAAAGGCCCUGCUUUUGUGGGGUGCUCGAGUGGCGAACGGGUGAGUAACACGUGAGUAACCUGCCCUUGACUUUGGGAUAACUUCAGGAAACUGGGGCUAAUACCGGAUAGGAGCUCCUGCUGCAUGGUGGGGGUUGGAAAGUUUCGGCGGUUGGGGAUGGACUCGCGGCUUAUCAGCUUGUUGGUGGGGUAGUGGCUUACCAAGGCUUUGACGGGUAGCCGGCCUGAGAGGGUGACCGGCCACAUUGGGACUGAGAUACGGCCCAGAACCCUACGGGAGGCAGGAGGGGGGAAUAUUGCAACAUGGGCGGAAGCCUGAUGCAGGCACGCCGCGUGCGGGAUGACGGCCUUCGGGUUGUAAACCGCUUUCGCCUGUGACGAAGCGUGAGUGACGGUAAUGGGUAAAGAAGCACCGGCUAACUACGUG